GUUUACAGCCAUGACACCCUGAAAAUGCCCGAUCUCAUCUGAUCUCAGAAGCUAAGCAGGGUCCAGCCUGGUUAGUAUUUGGAUGGGAGACCACCUAGGAAGACCAAGUGCUAUAGGCU
rnacentral:rRNA from 1 species